rnacentral:rRNA from 1 species
UUCUGGCUCAGGAUAAACGCUAGCUACAGGCUUAACACAUGCAAGUCGAGGGGCAGCAUUGGAGUAGCAAUACUCAGAUGGCGACCGGCGCACGGGUGGGUAACACGUAUCCAACCUGCCGCUUACUCGGGGAUAGCCUUUCGAAAGAAAGAUUAAUACCCGAUGGUAUAAAGAGUUCGCAUGUUCUCUUUAUUAAAGAAUUUCGGUAAGCGAUGGGGAUGCGUUCCAUUAGAUAGUUGGCGGGGUAACGGCCCACCAAGUCUACGAUGGAUAGGGGUUCUGAGAGGAAGGUCCCCCACAUUGGAACUGAGACACGGUCCAAACUCCUACGGGAGGCAGCAGUGAGGAAUAUUGGUCAAUGGACGAGGGUCUGAACCAGCCAAGUAGCGUGAAGGAUGACUGCCCUAUGGGUUGUAAACUUCUUUUAUAAGGGAAUAAAGUGAGGGACGUGUCCCUUUUUGUAUGUACCUUAUGAAUAAGGAUCGGCUAACUCCGUGCCAGCAGCAGC